GGGUCAGUAGGUCGGUCGUGCCACAGGUAUGCACUGGUCUCACUGAUUCCUCCUUCCUGAUGAACCGUAAUGCCAUUAAUUUGGUGUUGCGGGGAGACUGGACUGUUACUUUGAAAAAUUAGAGUGUUUAAAGCAGGCUAACGCUUGAAUACAUUAGCAUGGAAUAACGGAAUAGGACGUUCGAUCUUAUUUUGUUGGUUUCUAAGAUUGACGUAAUGAU
rnacentral:rRNA from 1 species